ACAACAACAUUCAGACCGUCGGUCUACCGAGCCAUAUCACCCGCUCGGUGGAAGAUCUUCCUUUCAUCGUUAUA
rnacentral:pre_miRNA from 1 species